rnacentral:rRNA from 1 species
AGCGAACGCUGGCGGCAGGCCUAACACAUGCAAGUCGAACGGAUCCUUCGGGAUUAGUGGCGGACGGGUGCUUAACACGUGGGAACGUGCCCUUUGGUUCGGAACAACUCAGGGAAACUUGAGCUAAUACCGGAUGUGCCCUUCGGGGGAAAGAUUUAUCGCCAUUGGAGCGGCCCGCGUCUGAUUAGCUAGUUGGUGAGGUAACGGCCCACCAAGGCGACGAUCAGUAGCUGGUCUGAGAGGAUGAUCAGCCACACUGGGACUGAGACACGGCCCAGACUCCUACGGGAGGCAGCAGUGGGGAAUCUUGCGCAAUGGGCGAAAGCCUGACGCAGCCAUGCCGCGUGAAUGAUGAAGGUCUUAGGAUUGUAAAAUUCUUUCAGCGGGGACGAUAAUGACGGUACCCGCAGAAGAAGCUCCGGCUAACUUCGUG